rnacentral:rRNA from 1 species
AGCUAAAUGUUGUAAGUAAGUAAAAAUUAUGAAAGCAAAAAAUUAUGGCGGUAUUUUAAGCUUUUCAGAGGAAUUUGCUCUUUAAUGGAUAAAACACCUAAAUCUUACUUAAAUUUGUUAAUUCAAUUUGUAUACCACUAUAAAAACAAUUUAUAACUUUAAUUGUUUAAAUUUAUUAAAUUAAAAUAUAUUAAGUCAAGGUGCAGUAAAAAUUUAAGGAUGAAGUGAAUUACAUUACUCUUUAGAGAAACAAAUUUAAAAUAAUAUUUAGGAUUUGAAAGUAAAAUUAAAAUAGAAUGUUGGUUUGAAUUAAGCUCUAAAAUAUGUACAUAUCGCCCGUCACU